rnacentral:rRNA from 1 species
CUCAGGUGCGAAAGCGUGGGGAGCAAACAGGAUUAGAUACCCUGGUAGUCCACGCCGUAAACGAUGUCGAUUUGGAGGUUGUGCCCUUGAGGCGUGGCUUCCGGAGCUAACGCGUUAAAUCGACCGCCUGGGGAGUACGGCCGCAAGGUUAAAACUCAAAUGAAUUGACGGGGGCCCGCACAAGCGGUGGAGCAUGUGGUUUAAUUCGAUGCAACGCGAAGAACCUUACCUGGUCUUGACAUCCACAGAACUUUCCAGAGAUGGAUUGGUGCCUUCGGGAACUGUGAGACAGGUGCUGCAUGGCUGUCGUCAGCUCGUGUUGUGAAAUGUUGGGUUAAGUCCCGCAACGAGCGCAACCC